rnacentral:rRNA from 1 species
UACGGGGGGAGCAAGCGUUGUUCGGAUUUACUGGCGUAAAGGGCGCGUAGGCGGUCAGCACAAGUCAGUUGUGAAAUCUCCGGGCUUAACUCGGAAAGGUCAACUGAUACUGUGCGACUAGAGUGCAGAAGGGGCAACUGGAAUUCUCGGUGUAGCGGUGAAAUGCGUAGAUAUCGAGAGGAACACCUGCGGCGAAGGCGGGUUGCUGGGCUGACACUGACGCUGAUGCGCGAAAGCCAGGGGAG